rnacentral:rRNA from 1 species
GACAGAGGUGCCGAGCGUUAGGCGGAAUCACUGGGCUUAAAGCGUGUGUAGGCGGGUCGUUAAGUACCUUGUGAAAUCCCACGGCUUAACUGUGGAACUGCUUGGUAUACUGCCAGUCUUGAGCCAGCUAGGGGCUACCGGAACAAAUGGUGGAGCGGUGAAAUGCGCAGAUAUCAGGAGGAACACCGGUGGCGAAGGCGGGUCUCUGGGCCGAAACUGACGCUGAGGAGCGAAAGCGUGGGGAGCAAACAGG